rnacentral:sRNA from 1 species
UUUACUGUAGAUAAUG